CCCUCCGAAGUUUCCCUCAGGAUAGCUGGCACUCUCUCUCACAAGGAAAUGACCCACAGUUUCAUCCUGUAAAAUGAAUGAUUAGAAGUCUUGGGGCGGAAACGAUCACAACCUAUUCUCAAACUUUAAAUGGGUAAGAAGCCCGGCUCGUUGGCGUGAAGCCAGGCGUGGAAUGCAAGUGCCUAGUGGGCCACUUUUGGUAAGCAGAACUGGUGCUGCGGGAUGAAGAGCACACGGGUUAAGGCGCCCCAUGCCGUUGCUCAUAAGAGUCUGAUAGAAUCCUUCAAGGAAUCCAUCUGGGCCUGGACCUUAGUCAGAAGGGUUGAACGUUUUCUGGUUUGUUUGUUUGUUUGAGAGAGAGAG
rnacentral:ncRNA from 1 species